CUGCUUUGGAAACCCCUCUGAUGUCAGAGUCGGCUGAGGAUGUCAGGCUCCUGUUUCAUUCCUGCUGAUAAGAGGAAAAACCCAUUUCCUUUUGAGCCACACCAAGAAAACAAAGGAUUGUUUGUUUGUUCCCCUUUCUUAAUCUGGUCACAAAACACACACACACACACACACACAAGAAUCGGAGGUUAAUCCUGCCGGGAAAGUUGGUGGGAGAGCACUAAGCCCCAAACAGGAUUACCCCAGCAGGCUGAACACAGAGCCAGCAUCCGUCUGCCAACAUCCAUCCAUCACAUAAAGCCGGCCUUGGGGACCAUUGGGUGCAGUUCCUGCCGUAGCAGGACUGUCUGUGACAGACGCUCCUCGGGGAGGCACGGUGGAGGGGCUGUAUGCACGGUGUCACCCAGGUAAUGCUGGCAAUGACUAGAAGAAUAGUGAAAUGUCUGGACAGCACGGCAAAUUUGAUAGAGAAACUGAGUAUAAAAAUGCAACUGGCCAAGUACAGGACGGUGACAGCUCAGAACUACAUCCACGGAAAGUCCUGAGCGAUGCAGAUAAUUCAAGUUCCAAACAAGCUACAGCGCGCUGGUGGUCGGAUGGCCAGUGGAGCCUUGGGCUGUGCCCAUUAAACCGAGCACCCAACAGGAGAGCUGGCAACAGCACUUGACCGCUCUGACUGGAGCCCAGCAGGCAAGCUACACUCAAUUCUGGGCGCGGGGGACCAGGACACGGGACAUGGAGUGCUGGGGACUUGAUGACCACUUCACUUUUCAGAAGGGCUUUCAGGAGGAAAAGCAUUAACAUUGGAGCCCUAAAGAGCAGUCGAGAGUCUAGAAGGAUGAACCAAGAGCAGAGAGUAGAGAUGAUAAAGACGUUUUCACAUCAAUUUCCCAGUUACAGCAGCCACUGAAGUGGAAGGGACCACUUCUGUGCCUCUCCGCGGAGCCCAGGCUCAGCUGUGCACGUGGAGAUACGACAAAGGCAGGCGGACUUUCAGGAGGUGUCUCAGACGCAGACUCUAAACCCACCUCUGGGUCCUAGACUUUCCCACCCCAGCUCUGCCCAGACUGAUUCCGUCUCAGCCCCUUCUAGCUGCCUGCGCCUUGCCCUUACACCCCAGGCUCAUAUCUGCACUCCAUCCCCUCCACUGCUAGGCCUGUCCCCACUGUCCCCCUCACACAAUAGCCUCCCGUGACCCCCUACGCACAGCUCAGCUACCCUCUAUUCCCUGCACACAGAGGCUGCACCCACCAAUGAAAGAAGAGCUGGUUCCCGGCCCCUCUCUCUCUUGAAGCCCUGAAACAGGCAGCCCCAUCACAAUUAGAAGAAAUCUCAAGGUACCAGGGCCCCCGGGCCCCACUGAUCCCGCCCUGGCGCCUGUCGACACUCCCUUCCCACCGCCGUCACCCUCACCAGGCCCAGCGGGCCCUGACUGUGACAGCCGGGCUUCCACCUGGGCCUCUGCACCUGCUGCCCUCUCUUCCCCAGCUCUCCUCACCCUCCCCGGCUCUGGCCAGACUCUCCCAGACCCACCACCCUCUCCCACUCUCCUGCUUUGUUCUCCUCAUUCCACUGGCUGCUGCCCGACUUAAUACACAAGUGGAUACAUAACAACAGUGAAUCCACUGGGCCUCCUCCCACCAGCAUGAGCUCCACGAGGCCAGGAGCUUUGUUUUCCAUACCUCUGUGCCAGCAGAGCCCGACCGGUGCUGGGCGGAGAGCACUGACAGUGAGACGCACAGCAGUGAGGUAACAGGCGUGGGGGUAACAGUGACAGAAGGAGGAGUAACAGUGACAAGAGUACUAGUGAUAGCAACAGGAGUACAAGUGACAGUGACAGGAGUACUAGUGACAGUGACAGGAGUAAAAGUGACAGGAGUACUAGUGAUAGCAAGAGGAGUACAAGUGACAGUGACAGGAGUACAAGUGACAGGAGUGACAGUGACAGGAGUAAAAGUGACAGGAGUACUAGUGACAGUGACAGUACUAGUGACAGGAGUAAUAGUAAUAGGAAUAAUUACUGAGCACUAUGGUAUAUUCACUUCAGAAAACAUUUUAGUUGAUAUUCAAUGGGUUAACGUAUUUAAACACUCUAAGUCUAUUCACUUAAUCCUCAAAACCGAUGAGGUAGAUUUUAUAUAUGAUGAAACUGAGCACAGCAAGGGCAACCUGCAGACAGUUAACAAAUCUUUGUUGAACGAAAGAGUAAGUGAACAAGCUACCCAGCACUAGAAAUGUUUGAACGGAAACAGAAGACUACUUAUCAGGGUGACUGAGAGAUUAUAACAUCAGAUGCAGUUUUCACGAGAGCCCUGGCCGGCCUGUGGGGUCUCUCCCACAAUCUAGAAACCUUCAGACCCGAGGAUUCUUCCUCGCCACAGCCCAGUGGUGGCCCAGGGAAUAUGUGACACAGGCUGAGCGCUGGAGGAGCGCCACUGGCUGUGUUUGGUGCAGUCGCCCCAGGAGCCCACCUUCCCUGAGGGGACCCAGAGCUGGUAGCAGCCUUGAGACUUCCUGGUGCUGCCUCCUGGUGUGACGCUCACCCCCACCCAGCAGCUGGGCUGCCUCUCAGGUGACGAGCAGCUGAGAAGAUCCAGUGUCAGGGUGUGACUGGCCACCCGGGACUCGGCCUUCUUCCCGCAGCCUGCCUGUCACGUGGUGCAAUGUCACCAGGCUGCUCAGUGCAUCCCCCACCCUCACGUGUCCUCGCCCUGCCCCGUGUGUCCCCACUGCUCUGCCAGCCCUGCGGUGAAUGAACAAGAAGGGGCCUGCGUGCCUGAGCCUGGGCCCCCCAUGCCGCUGGCUCUGGGAGUCAAAGGAGGCAGCCACAGAGGGAUCUCCCCUCUCUCCCUGGAACUGAUCCUAUUCUCAGGCCUCACAAGGCUGCAAAUGGCUGCCAUGCGGAUGGCCCUGCAAGGUCCCUCGAUCUGGUCCACUGAGAGAGAGAAAGUCCCCAACCCCUAUUAAUGAAACAAACAAACUGCCCUUGGAUCUAACGAGCUGACACCCCCAGAACCAACCCUAGCGCUGGGGGUAGGAGGUGUCCACUGGCCUAACUAAGGGGACAGUUCCCAGGGCUGCCAGCUGCACAAGGGGAGCCUGGGCAAAACUAGGCUCCUAUCACCACAAAAGGGGGUGAACGCUGGGUAACAGACACUAGUGUCAACCACACACUGAGGUGCCGGCAUGUUUGCUGAGGGAAGACGUGACAAUCUCUCCUACCUCGAUCUUUUCUUUUAUGGAGACGUAUGCACAGCUUGAUAACUCCAAGGAGAAAAAUGCUCUACUCAUGCAAAUUCAUUCCAUUUGUAUUUGCAUUUUCCAUCACUCAUUUGGGUACAGGAUAUUUUCAGCAGACUCCCAGCACCCAAAGCAAAUUAUAUUUAUGGGGCAUCCUUGUGCACUCAGAGAAAGGGGCCAUGCCACGGAGCGGAGGGGUGCAAGCUGGUUUGGGUGUCAUCAUUUUAAGAGCAUUUUUUUUUUUUAAAGAUUGGCACCUGAGCUAACAUCUGUUGCUAAUCUUCUUUUCUUCUUCUUCUCCCCAAAGCCCCCCUAGUAUAUAGUUGUAUGUUCUAGUUGUGAGCGCCUCUGGUUGUGUGGGUGUUGUCUUGAUUCCCUCUGCAAACACUCUUCAGCCUGGUGGAUGGAUCUUCCUUUAGAGCUGAAGCAGUUUCCAAUUUCUCCUUUCUUGGGCUCGAUAAUCAAGUCGAGGCAGGAUAACAGAACGUGUAGAACAUGGAGAAGGAAGACACAAGGGCAAAAAUCCCAGAAGGUUGCUCAGAGACAAGACAUACCUUAUGAAAACUAAGCAACAGACGUCGUGUUAAGUGCCAGACAGCAAAGUCCCACAGCAUGAGGAGGCCUCCGCAGCCCCCUGGCCCAUGGCGGGGGGUCGCUGCAUUCACCUGCUGUGCUCACUCCUGGCGCAAUUGCUUGAACAAGUUACCGCCUUGGGCAGGAGGGAUGUAAGGACUAUGGGGGUCACGAAAAUGCACUGCUCAGACCUCCUGCAGCGGCGAGCGUGCACCGGCCUGCACCACAGCCGCCCCCACUCGCUCCCUCUUCACACAGAGGCCAUGCCCCUCCAGCCCCGGGUUGCUCCCGCCCACAACUGAGUGCGUGGGCGCGUGUGGAGGCCUAUUCCUGCAGGACAUGGCACCUGAAGGAGCAAGGCCCCAUCUACCCGGUGGGAACAUUCUCAGAACCAUGCUGCCAUCUGAGGCUCUCCCCGGCCACUCUGCCCCCAGGUGUCAGGCCUGCAUCCAGCCCGGAGGCGCCCCCACCCCCGCCUGCUCCUGCUCCCUCUGCCAACAGGACGCAGGCUCAUUCCCAACACUAUCACUCCUGUCUUGCUGAGCAGAACCCACUUGGGCCUGGGGCCCUGUUUGUCCUCACCAAGGAACUGGACAGAGGCCUGCCUCAGUCUCUGCACUUCACUGGCUCCCUUGCCCACCUUGCCUGUGAGACAGCUGGCACGUCCUGGGGGGGACUACUGGAGAGGUCAUACCUUCAGUCUGUGCCUUACCCCGGACUCCUCCCUGCUGUCUGGACUGGCUCUGCCUGGGGCACUUAGGGGAUAGUCCCAGCCCAGCCCCGCUCCGCCCAAGCUCUGGCCCUAGGUCAGCCGGCUUUGCUGACAACCUGGGAGUUGAGACAGGCCUGGCCACUGACCCUGGCCCUGGGUGAGCGCUGCUGAGGCGGGGCGCCUCCAUUCCAGGGUGGGGGGUGUUCUUUCUUCUUCUUCUUCUCCCAGGACAUGGACACAGAAACUGCUCUAGCUGCUGGCAGCCACCUGUGACCACUAGGAAAGGUAGCAGAAGACGAAACGGACAUUCAGAGAAAGAACACAGCCCCUCCCUGGACUUCCUGUCCCGAGACAAAUAUUAUUAUUGUUCAAGCCAGUUCGAGUUAGACUUUCUGUUGCUCGCAGAUCCCAAGCACCCUACAGAGGAGAUGCUAUCUAAUACAACAACAUCGUGGCCUGUCAGGGUGAGCCGAGGCCACUAGCUGAGGAGUCUGGUCUGCAGGCAACUGAAGCUUUGUGUGUGUGACACAAACUGUGUUCUUACUGCUAUUUGUGGAAAACAAUUUUCUUAAAAUAGAUAGAACAGACCUUGACACCCUGAAGACUAGCACUCAGAGUCGUCUGUUUUGAAAACAAGGCACCGUCAAGCUCUAGAAGAUGCACACUGAGUAAGAGAAGUGGUAUCUGGUUUUUACUGUCCAAGCACAGGAUCCAUUCAUUCAGGAGACACAACUGGAAACAUACCACAGUGGACACGUGAAUUGUGUGGAGAACAGACAGCUCCACGAGCACCAGGAUGACUCCCAGGUCCUUGCAACUGUUCAGGCCCGGGGCAGCAGCCGAGGGAGGACUGAGGCUCAAAACCCACGACAGGACCGGGACCAGAGGCCAGCAGAAUGAUGCAGUAGCCGGCCGGCCCUGUGGCUGAGUGACCUCAGACCUGGCUCCCGUGAGCACUCCCUCUCGUCCAGGACCCAGAGUAACUGCCAGCUCCCGCAGGAGUGGUGCCACCACUGUGCUGCACGCUCCAGGUCCCCUUGGCUGCUGGACCUGUGAUAGCAGGGGCACGCACUUGGAACCAUAUGGGGACAUCAAGAAUGUUCUGCCCUAGGGGCUGGGGAGCAGCAAGAAUUCCUCAAGCACUGGCUGGAGCCCUUAGUGAGAGAGCUGGCUGCUGUUUCCUGCAUGUUAAUAUUACCUACGUUGCAAAAUCCUGCUGGAACAGCUCCUACAGGUUCUCUGUUCUGGAUGUUCUGGCACCUGGGGCCUCGCUGACUGGGAGAGGCCGCCCUUCCGAGGGGUAGCCAGUCCUUAGAGAGAGCGUGCCUUUCAUGCAAACAAGCCAAUCCAGAGCCCAGACGGAACCACCUCCUCUAUCUGGCUGUUCCACUCCAGGAGCACUACUCCUCUGUCCUAAUCAGGCCAGGUACGCGACAACUAGAGACAGCCCUACGCCCCAGAGCCUGCUGAAAUGAUCCGCACUAGCUGUCAGCCCGCUGUCUCCGCCUGGCCUGGCCUCUCCCAUGGGAACCACAGGGAGGGCGCCUCCCCUCGCUCCUCCUCCUCACCCACCCUGUGCUUCCCCGUAUGGGCUCCCUUUUUCGGGGAACUGUGAGGGACACUCUCUGCUCAAUGGCAGUCGUCUACAGAUCUGCUGGCCUCGCUGCACCUGAAUAAGAAUAAAACCCACACUUUAAAAUACAUCUCCCUAUCCUCUUCGGGGCACUUCCCCUUCUCUUUCUUCACUCUGUACUGGCAGACAUUAAAAGGUUUCCCAAUACGUAUACACAAUAAGUUAUCUGCCAACAGAAAUGCUUUAAGGAAGAUACGCAUUUCAUUCUCACUAACAAUUUCUCAUAAGCCCUUGGCGAAGCACAUCCUCGCUGAGACGAUCUCCCAAGGGCGUCCCCCUCGGGGGCGCUGAGGACCGAGACAGUCUAUGCGGCCCGGAGCCUGAAGCCCAGAAUUCAGAGUCAGGGGUAUUGUUCUCUGGUUGUUUCUGCCUUGUCUCUCCAGCAGAGCUGAAGGUCUCCAGGAGGGGACUAUCAGGGAUUCAGAUUACAGCCACGAGGCCACAGGAAGGCUGACGGGGGCUAAGCCGAGCCCGAGUAGUUUCGUCACUUAUCUGCUGUUCAUUUAUGAAAUCACCAGUGUUAGCUGAUUUGUGUUGCCUCUUUCAGCCCCAAGUGGGGCUUGCAAAGCAUUUUAGUUCUUGAUAAAACUCCCUUCUGAGUCUGCCUUGAAUGCUCCACCUCUUCCUUCUAGGUGGUGCUCUUGGCCCUGGAGCCCAGGACCUGGAGCCCGGGCACCUGCCCUCAUGGCGUGGGUUAUCUGUGAGCACAUUGCACUGCAUGGCUCCAGCCCCAUUCACGCUGGACUCCACAGGCUCACACGGGUCUGAUCAGCUGGGAGGGGACACACUCCCUCGUGGGGGCUUACACCUGCACCACCACUGUCAUGACAUAUGCAUGGAGGUCAGAAGGGCCAGGGCCUGGGUCAAGGGGCGCAGAGGGACAAGAAGUUUCCUGGCCCUCAGGGAACAUCCCCGUUGAUUUGUUCUCGAGAGUAUUUGGACCUCACAUAUUUUCUCUUUGAAAUUAUUAAAGACAAGUUAUUCCCCGAGGACAGAAUUCACCUUGAUCUUUAACUGUACCAGGUUCUUGUCUUGUCCAGCGGUGGGAAGCCCGCAGGAUGCUUUCCUAGGUACCGAAGCUCAUGUCCUGGGCCAGGGCCUGUCUGGGCAGGUCUGGAGGUCAGAGCCACAGGGGUCGUCAGACCCAGCCAGGCUUCCAGCCCUGAGCCUGGGCCACCGAGCCAUGGUGGCUUCUCCAUGAUUGUCCAGAGUCCCCACGUUUAAAUCUACCCCUUUCUUGAAUCUUCUUUCUCCUUUAUUUCUCUACUCAUUCUGCUCUGCAAUCUUGUCCUAUUGUCUUUCCACACUUUCAGACACCUGUUGUCCCAGAAUCAUUUGUCCAGUGUCAAGGGUCUCUGCUCAGAACCGGGGCUCCCCAGAGGAAAGCAGGCCCCAAACCACCCUUCUCACACGCGGCCUCAUCUCUCACAGCCCAAGAGUGCUCCGGGCACGAGCACCACUUCACCGACUGUCUCAUCCCUCAGGCCUAUUGCUAGAACGUUCCUUAUCUCUUCUGCUGGGAGCAGAAAGGGAAGGAGCAUCCAUAGUGACAGCCCCAGCUAGCAGUGUCUCCUUCAAUCGCCACCUCAACCCUGGAGGCACCAGUGCACAGAUGUGAAACCGAGGUCCGGAGCGGGUGAGUGAGCUGUCCGAGGAAACGCACACCCUGAGCCGCUCUGACUCUGGGAUGACCUGCUGAGCGACCCAGGGAGCCCUCAGUGAGAGCAUGAAUCCGGGAGCGCUUAACUAAGGUUUUCCCAGGAAGCCCUCGUCUGGGGCCAUUCCUUCCACCUGUUGUCUACCAGGGGCCCUGGUCCAGGGGCCGCCAAGCAGUGUCUGGUGAGGGCUACGUGGAGGAAAGCAGAGCAGAGGAAUGACGAGCCCUCCCUGCACAGCCUCGCGUGGGCCAGGCUGGAGGCGGCGCGGCCGCAAUCGGUUUCCAGCUGGGAGGAGCAUUCCUAAAGUUCGUGCUGCUCAAGGAGCACCAUAAACUCUCUUCUCUAAUCCCCAACGCCUCCCCCACUGAUGGUUACAGAGUCUGAAAGGCCCCCAUACAGCCCCUCCUGCACCUCCAGGAGUCUCCUGUGAGCACAAACUCAGCAGGGAGAAUGGGGGCCAGGGCUGGGAGGUCAGUGGGCACCACGCCUGGGAGAGGCAGGGCAGGGGCAUGGGCUUGAGUCCCAGGGCUGCCCUCACUGUGCUGGGGCCAUGGGUAAGGCCCCCACCCUGGAGCCUGUCCGUGCUCUUCUCAAGACCCCCAGGGGCUUCAUCUCAUUCAGGUACAUUCCCAAGUCCUCCCCAUGCACACAGGACGAUGAAUAAACUGCUGUGUCUGCCCUCCCCACUGCGUCUCCAACCACGCAUUUCGCUCUGUGUCCUGCUGUCCAGCUACACUGGCCUCUCGGUGUCCUGGAAACACACCAAGGGUCUCCACCUCAGGGCCUGGGCCUCCCAUCUGUCUGCAAGGACCUGAGCACAGGCACCUGUGUGGCCCACUCUCUCCUGUCACUCAAGCCCUGGCAGAGGAGCCGUCCUGGCCAGCUAGCUGCCCUCGUCCUGCCUCCUCCCCCACCGCGCUCUCCACUGCCCAGCAUCGCAGAGGAAAACUCGCCUCUCUGUGGAAAAGCCAGGCACAAAAGACAAAUGCCAUGUGAUUCCACCCGUCUGAGGUACCUAGAGCAGCCACUUCACAGACAGAAGCAGAAGAGGGCUGCCAGGGGCCAGCGAGGACGACAGAACGGAGACCUGCUGUUUAAUGGGUGCAGAGUUUCCGCUGAGGGUGAUGGAAAGUUCUGGAGAUGGAUGGUGGUGAUGGUUGUACAACAAUGUAAAUGCACGUAAUGCCACUGAACUGUACAAUUAAAAUUGGAUAAGACGGUAAGCCUUACGUUCUGUAUAUUUUACCACAAUUUAAAAAACCACCUCAGGUGUCUGCCUCACCAGGCCCCGCGCCCCUGAGGGUGGACUGGCGUCUUGCUCUAUCCUGUGCCCCCAGUGCUGGCACAGAGUGGAAGGCCAGACGCUGGUGGGGUUGGGCUCUGUUGAACCUAAAGAUGGGUACAUUACACCUUUCUCCCUACUUCUCUAUAUGCUCUAAAAUUCUCAUUAUAAAAAGCUAAAUACAUAUAUUUGAACAAGCGACUGAAUGAACAUUGAGAUCUUUUGAGGCAACCCCUAUCAGGAUGCCAAGAGCCAGGUGGGCAGCCAGAAGCAGCAAGCAGAAGCAUGAGGGCAAUGGCGGGGACAGGACGGGGGAGGCUGCACGGACAACAGACUUCACUCUCCAGCCUUGCCCGCUGCUUGAGGCCAAGAGCGACCGAUGCCUCCUGCAGUGUCACUCCCAGCCGAGGGCUCCGCUUGCAUUAACAGGGGACCAGAGAGCUGGGGCAGGCAGUGUUGGGGUGACGUGUGGACCUGGGCACAAGGAACUCUGGAGUUUUGUUCCAGAAGAGGUUGUACGCUCACCCCAAGAAGGGCUAACAGGAAGAGCAGGCUCAGCGUAAAGCCAAGACUCGUCAUUGGUUCUGGUCUCCAGUGUCACUUAAGACUCGGGCAGCACGGGGACAGAGUGCCAGCUUCCUGUCUCCAGUGCUGCCUUCAGAGGGAUCUCUUGAGACUUCAGACAGUUUUUAUUUAAUUUCUCCCCUCCAACUGCAGAGGGUAGAAAAGUUGCCACAGUCAAUUCUCUUUUAUCUGAUUAGCAUAAUCCUUUUCUAAUCUUCCUUUCACAUUUUUAUUAUCAUUGCCACACGCUCUUGGUCGACAUAAUCUG